UAGUUUAAUGCCAAGUAAAUCAGGGAAGGAUAAUGACAAACAACCCCAAAUCUUGGAACACCUUCCUCCCACCUCUCCCUUCUCCCCAGGCUUAACCUUUUACUCCAGAUCUUCUCUACCUCUUCCCCCUCAGCAGCACAGGGAGACAAAGAAUGGGGGUUGUUGUGAAUUCAUCACAGGUGUCUCUGCUGCUCCUUCCUCUUCCGCGGGGGAGGACUCCUCAGCCUCUCCCUGCUGCAGGUGUGGAGUGUUUCCUACAGGAGAGAGUUCUCUGCAAACUUCUCCAACGGUCACAGUCUCCUUUGACAUCCACUUGUUCCAAUGAGAGGUCUUCCAGGAGUUGCAGGUGGUGUGUUGGGAUUGCUAUUCCCAUGUUGUGUAGCUGCUGUUGGCAUGAGGAAUUCAUUAAAGG